GUGAUGUCAGCUAAGAACAGUUCCUGUGAAUCCCUAGAGUUCUAACAAGGCCAUCAAGGUUGCUGCCUGUGGAGAAGAGAUGAGAGAACAGAACAGGCAGACUGUUUUCUGCACAAGGACAAGAGCAGAGGAUAAGCCCCUGUGAUUCAGAUUGAAGGGGGACGUCAAGAGUGGACAUGGGUGCUGAGGCCAGAAGCCAGAGCUCCGAGGGCCAGGGGCAGUCUGUCCAGUUUCGUUCUGAAGGCCAGGCAGCUGUGACUCUCGAACAGCCCUGUGAGUGGCCCUGUCUCAUCUGUCACAAGAAGGCUGCAGGGGAAGGUCUGAGAGGGCAGUGGAAUCACGAGCGUUAGGAGGAAUGCCACAGGGAGCUGGACAACACAGCGAAGCAGACUUCCUCAGAAGAGUCCCCAACCACCUAUUUCAGAGGUUCGGAAAAAGCUGUCUGAGAACCUAUGCUGUGUCUCUGGACUCCAUCUCAGGGCCUCCCCGUGAACCUUCCAAACUCACCCAGCCAGAGGUUCCCAGGCCCCCAUCCCAGGGGAACCACUACCUGUAAAGCAGUUCAUUCCUCCCUGCCCAGAAUGACUGCCACACUCAGGUAUGUUGACUUCAGUCUCCUUUGAGUGAAGAGCUGAAGUUACAGAGAGGAAACAAGGGACCUUUCAUCUUGUGGAAGCGAGAGGAACAACUGUGGAGGAACUGUCAUUUCCGCAGGAAAUGUUCCGCAGGAACAAGUCACCGCUAGUGACUUUCCAGUGUUGGUGGUUAAAAGCAAGAGAAGCCCGGGGGCCCAGCUCCUUAGCAGGCCCUCUGAAAGCGUGGGAAUCCUCCUCAUAAACAUCUCGGGAGAGGCCAAAAUCUGAAAUCUUCAUCUUCCGCCCCUCAGCCACCAGGACGUUUCUGGCGGCCAAGUCCCGAUGGACAAGCUGCAGGGAAGACAACAGACAGGGACCCCUCAGGCCCGGGUCCCCAUCGCUGGCAGUGGGGAGCCGGGGCUGGCAUGGCACACACCUUCAUCUCUGCCAGGACUUUGGCUGCCAUCUUGUCCCAGGCCCAGCCUCAAGUCCUGCUGGUGCCAACCAGCAUCUUUUCUGCCCUCUCCCUGGUGCACAAUGCCCUCUCGUACCUGCAACACACACAUCUGUGCACAGGAGCACACACAUACGGAGAAGCCCUUAAGUGGCACAGACCAGGCCAAUCUCCUGUGUCCUUAGCUGUUGACCAAGCACUCAACAGGAGGUGAGGCCUUGGAUACAGUUGGAGAUUAUGGGACUUCACAGAGGUGGCCUCUGCCAUGUGCACACGUGCAUCCUGAGGGUAAGCAGAGUUGUGCUUGGGCUCCCACGAGGAGCUGAAGCCUAAGGGGAGGGAUGUGGGGUCAGAAGCCUUGGCUAAGCAGGCCUCCUGGGGCAGCUGCCUCACAGCUCACUGCCGAGCUAUACCACAUCGCCACCUCUGGCCACACACUUGUCUGGAAGUGAGAGGACAGCUGGGAGAGAGGGUGCUGGGCCCCAUACAUGGUGGCCUGGGGCUGGUCUCAGUGUGCCCCUUAGUGUUUGGGGCUUCAGGGGGGAGCACAGAAAGACACAGUCUGAGGCCUAGGUAAGGAUUCAAGCACCUUGCACAGUGUAGCCCUGAGUGCUGCACUAGAAUUCUCAUGUGCACCUGCCGACUUGUACCCGCUGCAAGGCCACUGGGCCCUUGGUCCAUGUGAGCCAGACUCCUGGCAUGCCAGAGGGCCGUCCACCCAGUCUCUGCUCAGAAACACCAGUGAGUGUGUGUGUAUAUGGGUGAGUAUGUACCCAUUUAGAGCCAGACUUGUGGCACGGCCUGGUCUCAGAGGCAGGGCACAUCCACUGGGGGCCACUGGGGAUUGGGCCAGGUAGGGCCCCAAGAGACAGGGGCCAAGCCUUACAGGUGGCUUCUUCACCAGGACCACAGGGGCACCUGGUUGAAAGGGAUGAAUGGGGCAGAUUGGGAUGGAAGAGCUGUCAGUUCAAAACCAAAAGGCUUUUUAAUUUUUAAAAAAUUCAGAUCUUUACCCAACAUUGGUGCAGAAACAGCACCAUUCUAAAACCUUCCCAGUGAUGAAAAGUUCUCUUGCCUUGUUUCUCCAGGGGACUACCCUGGCCCUUGUUAUCUGUGAUGGUGCAUGGGGGCAUCUCCAGAAUGCAGCCACUCAAGAAUAGCAAUGGGGGUGGGCUCUUUAGAGGGCCCUAGGCUGGUUGCCACACCCUGGUUGUCAGGGUGGCUCCAGAGCCACCUGUACAUACUGCCUGGACAGGUACCUUUCAGCAUCUUCACGGCAACGGUCGUGUAUCCUGCUUUGCCUUUUAGCCGGAAAGCUGUUGCCUUAACCACUUUUCCAAAUUCACCUUCUCCCAGAGUUUUUCCAAGAACUAAGUUCUUCCGAGGGAAUUCCCACUUAGGAUCCUCCUAUGUGGGGUUGGAGGAAAGGGAAGAAGAGGAGAAGGGAGAAAGUUGGUGAGGGUAAGAGGAAAAGAAGAAGACAAGGCUCAUAAAUGAGUCUCCAAUGGACAAGCUCUGGUGUGCAAACUGCCACCUGGACUAGUGGGCAAUGGUUAUCUACCUGCACUGAGAGUGGGACCCCACAGUUGGGCAGGACCUGUACCUUAUGGAAAGAUAAACGUUGCCACAGAAUGG